rnacentral:miRNA from 1 species
UAUUGGGUUAGCCUUCAUUCAGCUUUUCUGUACCAUCCUAUGGAAAAAUCCGAAUGAACUUUUUGGCCAACUCAAU